rnacentral:rRNA from 1 species
AUGAGAGAUUAUCAAGGUCGGAGCAGAGCAGCAAGGGAUGAGAAAAGGAGGAAGGGGUCUAGAGACAGCGAUGGGCAAAACAAUCAUGUGGAGGUAGCAAGAGGCAGUUCUCGACAAAUCACUAUAAGUGCAAGGAUCCAAUGGAAGAAUUUGGUGAAGAACAAGGUCUCCAUCAUUUGGCGUCAAGGUCCCCAAGCCCCUGUAUCCGCCCUUGAAGCUGGGUUUAGCGAGCUAAGGUUGCAGUGGAGAAUGAACGUGCAAAUUUGCAGCAGCAAAGGUCUUUCUACGUUUGAUGGGCACCUAAAUUGGUUCGAUUUCACGGAUGAUGGAGCCUUGCUGUGUGACGUAUUUCCUGGUGAAGAAAUAUUUGUGUGUACUGGAGUUAAUGCAUCUCCAAGGAAUAACCAAACCUUUAUUCCUAUUUUAUCAUAUAUGCUACACUUAAAUGCAAAGUGUUAG